rnacentral:rRNA from 1 species
UACGGGGGGAGCAAGCGUUGUUCGGAUUUACUGGGCGUAAAGGGCGCGUAGGCGGUCGUGACAAGUCCCUUGUGAAAUCUCCGGGCUUAACUCGGAACGGUCAAGUGAUACUGUCGGACUAGAGUACAGAAGGGGCAACUGGAAUUCUCGGUAUAGCGGUGAAAUGCGUAGAUAUCGAGAGGAACACCUGCGGCGAAGGCGGGUUGCUGGGCUGAUACUGACGCUGAGGCGCGAAAGCCAGGGGAGCGAACGGG